AAGACAGAAGAAUUAAUUUGUUUACACAGGAAAUUACUUCUUUAUUUUUAAUCUUCUAAUCACCAGUAUUUUUAAUUUAAUGCACAAUACUGAAACUUGUGAAGUCACAGCAGACAGUAGCAAUACAGUAAAAUGUGAACUAUAGGGAUAUAGAAGUAUAAUAGGAUUUGCUAUGCAGGAGUACACUCCUUGUGUUUUCCUGUGCAUUACACUUUUAUUAGUCUCUGUGUUCCAGUACAAUACAUGUACUGUAUGCAUGUAAUACAUGUAGAGACAUAAGCACUGAACACCCUCUGACAGACAGGGAUGUGUGCCACGCCCCGCCACACACAGUGAUGAUCACCCAAAAGUCAGCAGUUUGAUGCCUCUUCCAGCACAGCGAGUGGUACGACACAGCUCUGUGGCUAAGCCAGCAUGAGGCAGAGACACACUGUGCAGGUUUCAUCCCUUAGCUUAGAGUCUGAUCCCGAGCUUAUACUCCAGUGAGUGGCAGCCACCACCAUUCAGAAGCUCUCUCCUUGGGGCAUAAUGCAUGGAAAAAACAGGCUUAGGGGCACAUCAAUUCCACAGGCUUAACCGAACGACGGGUGGUGAGUGCGUGAGUGUGUGUUUGUGUAUUCUUCAGAUGCAUUUUCAUACAGUGCUUCUGUUUCUAGACAGAGUGCGACAUUGAAAAUGGUGUGUGUGUGUGUGUGUGUGUGUGUGUGUGUGUGUGUGUGUGUGUGUGGGUCUUUGUCACAUGUUAAAUGCUGUCAUAAUGAGCGUAUUGAGCCAAAUGUCAAAUAAAAGGAGAGGGAUUUAAGGGGAUUCGAGCCUUUAUUAAACAUUCAUAUUGUUUCCCCACAUCUGACAACUGAGACAAAGUGUUAAAUACAAAUGGAUUUCCAUAUCCCCAAAUAAAUAUCACAGACUCAUGAUUAAACGUGAUAAUGACAUCAGAUGGAAUGUGCUGUAUUUAACUUGUGUUUUGUCUCCUCAGACGAGUCCUUCGACAGCAGUUAUUAAAAGAUAGUUUAGACUAGUCAAAG